CCCAACUAUCCCUAUUAAUCAUUACGUCAAUCCUAGAAACCAACAAAAUAGGAUCGAACGUCCUAUUUCAUUAUUCCAUGCUAAUGUAUUCAAGCGCGAGCCUGCUUUAAACACUCUAAUUUUUUCAAAGUAACAGUCCUGAUUCCCCGCCACACCAAAUUAAUGACAUGACGGUUCGUCAGAAGGUAGGAACCAGUAACACCAGUACAUACCGGAGGCACGACCGGCGUACUGAUCCCGAAAUUCAACUA
rnacentral:rRNA from 1 species